rnacentral:rRNA from 1 species
AAACUAACAAGGAUUCCCCUAGUAACUGCGAGUGAAGCGGGAAGAGCUCAAAUUUAAAAUCUGGCGGUCUCCGGCCGUCCGAGUUGUAAUCUGGAGAAGCGUUUUCCGCGUCGGACCGUGUACAAGUCUCUUGGAACAGAGCGUCAUAGAGGGUGAGAAUCCCGUCCAUGACACGGACUCCCGGUGCUUUGUGAUACGCUCUCGAAGAGUCGAGUUGUUUGGGAAUGCAGCUCAAAAUGGGUGGUAAAUUCCAUCUAAAGCUAAAUAUUGGCGAGAGACCGAUAGCGAACAAGUACCGUGAGGGAAAGAUGAAAAGCACUUUGGAAAGAGAGUUAAACAGUACGUGAAAUUGUUGAAAGGGAAACGCUUGAAGUCAGUCGCGUCGUCCGGGACUCAGCCUUGCUCUUGCUCGGUGUACUUCCCGUUCGACGGGUCAACAUCGAUUUUGACCGGCGGAUAAAGGCGGGGGGAAUGUGGCACCUUCGGGUGUGUUAUAGCCCUCUGUUGCAUGCGUCGGUCGGGAUCGAGGACCGCAGCGCGCCACUAGGCCGAGAGGUACGCCUCUACGUUACGCGCUUAGGAUGUUGGCAUAAUGGCUUUAAGCGACCCGUCU